GAUGAACGCUGGCGGCGUGCCUAAUACAUGCAAGUCGAGCGAACGGACGAGAAGCUUGCUUCUCUGAUGUUAGCGGCGGACGGGUGAGUAACACGUGGAUAACCUACCUAUAAGACUGGGAUAACUUCGGGAAACCGGAGCUAAUACCGGAUAAUAUUUUGAACCGCAUGGUUCAAAAGUGAAAGACGGUCUUGCUGUCACUUAUAGCUGGAUCCGCGCUGCAGUAGCUAGUUGGUAAGGUAACGGCCUACCAAGGCAACGAUGCAUAGCCGACCUGAGAGGGGGAUAGGCCACACUGGAACUGAGACACGGUCCAGACUCCUACGGGAGGCAGCAGUAGGGAAUCUUCCGCAAUGGGCGAAAGCCUGACGGAGCAACGCCGCGUGAGUGAUGAAGGUCUUCGGAUCGUAAAACUCUGUUAUUAGGGAAGAACAUAUGUGUAAGUAACUGUGCACAUCUUGACGGUACCUAAUCAGAAAGCCACGGCUAACUACGUG
rnacentral:rRNA from 1 species